AUACGGAGGAUGCAAGCGUUAUCCGGAUUUAUUGGGUUUAAAGGGUGCGUAGGCUGUGCUGCAAGUCAGUGGUGAAAGACCUGCGCUCAACGCAGGGAGUGCCAUUGAUACUGCAGUGCUGGAGUACCCCUGCCGUGGGAGGAAUGAGUGGUGUAGCGGUGAAAUGCAUAGAUAUCACUCAGAACACCGAUUGCGAAGGCAUCUCACGAAAGGGCAACUGACGCUGAGGCACGAAAGCGUGGGGAUCAAACAGGCUUAGAUACCCUGGUAGUCCACGCUGUAAACGAUGAUGACUAACUGUCGGCGAUAUACAGUUGGUAGCCAAGCGAAAGCGAUAAGUCAUCCACCUGGGGAGUACGACCGCAAGGUUGAAACUCAAAGGAAUUGGCGGGG
rnacentral:rRNA from 1 species